rnacentral:tRNA from 1 species
AUUUAUAUAGCUUAUUAUUAGAGUAUGAUAUUGAAGAUAUCAGGGAGGUAGUUAUACCUAUAAGUA